rnacentral:rRNA from 1 species
GACGAACGCUGGCGGCGUGCCUAAUACAUGCAAGUCGAGCGCUGAAGGUUGGUACUUGUACCAACUGGAUGAGCAGCGAACGGGUGAGUAACGCGUGGGCAAUCUGCCUUUGAGCGGGGGACAACAUUUGGAAACGAAUGCUAAUACCGCAUAAAACCUUUAAACACAUGUUUUAAGUUUGAAAGAUGCAAUUGCUUCACUCAAGGUCGAUCCCGCGUUGUAUUAGCUAGUUGGUGAGGUAAAGGCUCACCAAGGCGAGGAUACAUAGCCGACCGGAGAGGGUGAGCGGCCGCACUGAGAGGGAGACACGCCCCAAAGGCAUACGGGAAGGGGCAGGAGGGAAUCGGCAGCAAGGGGCGAAAGACAGAGCGAGCAACGCGGAGGGAGGGAAGAAGGUUGUCGGGUCGUAAAACUCGGUUGGUGGGGAAGAACGUUGGUGAGAGUGGAAAGCACAUCAAGUGACGGUAACUACCCAGAAAGGGACGGCUAACUACGUG